AUAGGCCUCCACAAGUUUACGCCAAAAAUAACGUGAACUCAUGUGUUUUGCCCAUAGUCACCACGCUGGGCAGGCGGGUUGGUGACCGCAGUACCUACUGGCUUUGUCGCACCGAAGACGCUGCUGCCCGUCUUCGGCCUGUGUAUUUCAAAGCCAGCAGUUGGAUGGUUAUCCCGCCAUCGGUCGGCUUCUUAAGUUCCAAGGUGGUUGUGGAACCUUGUUAUCCCUUAGUCGCCUCUUACGACACCCACGGGAAGAGACGGGGUGGCUAAAUUCUUUAGUGCCGUAGCCACACAGCAC
rnacentral:misc_RNA from 1 species